rnacentral:lncRNA from 1 species
CAAAAGGAUUUGUUUUGGACAGGUAAAUUUUGAUGUGAUACAAAUGUUUUAUGAGCAGAAACUUAAGAAAAUUUAGGGUGAGCCAAUCUGAUAUAGCAUAUGGAUGAAGAAUCAUGCUUGCUUGGAUCCCUUGUUUGCCAAUAAAUCGCAAACCAAAAAUUACAAGCAGUUUGAGAAGAAGAAAAAUGUAAGAAGUAGGUUCUUAAGUGGGUGGAAACGAAGAUUUGGUCCAAGGAAAAGAAAUAUAAAAACUUAGUUAUAAGGUGAGUGUGAAGAGCACUAAUGGUCUGUUGGUGGCACCCUGGCCCCUCUAUGAUUCCAAAUUUGACGAGAGGUAAUGGGAUUCUCUCCUCUAUUUCUUUUUCUGCACACAAAUCUAAUCAUCUUCUGCAUCAUCAUUCACUUAACUUCAUACAUGUUCCACUUCCACCAUUUCAUGUUUCUAUUACUUUUCACUCCAAUUCGUUACUUUUGCCUUCGCCUAAUCCAAAUCUAGGAGCAUAUGCCUCAUCACUGUGUUUUUAAUUCUCGAGAAUAGGAUAUGAAUAUGAUACUAAACCGGUGUGGAGAAGAUACUCAUAUUCUUGUAGCAGGACUAAAAAUCUCCUGAAGAAAACACCAGAAUAAUAAACAGAAACAACCGUUGCAGGACAUGUUGUUCUUCUUUUCUAGUCAGCAUGAUGAGACAGAUCAAGAAUAUGAAAGCCAAGCAAAAGCAUGAGAAAUUAUUUUUCAACAACAAAUUUGAACAAAGAUUAUGCAUUUACGAAAGAGAUCAGAAGAAAAGAGAGAAAUCUUUGAUAAGACAAGUGAUGUGAUAAAAAAAGUAAUCUUCCAAAUAAUGCUGUUAGAAUAAUAUUUAAGUUAGCUUAAUUUUGCCAGACUAAUUAUCUACACUUUAUAUAACUUUUGUGCACAUUUGUAAUACAAAACAAUUUCUCAGCUAAUUUAUAUUUUUAAGAUAACGUGUUUGAAUUGACAUAAAGAAAACAAAAAGGACUAAAAGUUAUAUCCGUAGUUUUUAUUUUUAAAAAGCAAACAUUUUUUCUUAUGUAACCUAAGCAUUUGAUCCUUUCGUUUUUCAAUUGUUGACUUAAAGGUGACAUGAAGUUUGGUGGAGAAAGCUACAGAUAAAGAUCUACUGCCACACUGAACGCAUUGAUUCAUUGGUAAAUCAGCAUAAGAAGUUAAUAACCUCUUCUACUUUGUUAGAGAGAAUGGUAUAAACAUGAGAAAUUGUUUUGUAUUAAUGUUUUUCAUUAUUAUAUGAUAAAUGAAUGAAAAAAUAAAAUAAUAAUAUUUUUUUUUGUUAU